AUUCAGUCGGGCUUCCGAGGCAGCACUGACCGAUUGAGCAGAACGGAUCCCAUAACUGGGCCGGGUCGGUUGUGCGGGCUUCGGUUCUCGACGCAUUUUCUCCCGCUCCGAGGACGCCGCAGCCGGUUGGGAAAGGCUCGACGGACUGGAAGGCGGACGCUGGCAGGUGGCCGGUGGCGCGGCUUCGGCUGCGUCGUCGGUUGUUAGCCUGUUCGCCUGGUCUCGUCGCCCGACCGUGGUCAGGUGCGGUCCGAAUGGACCCGAUAUUGUCCGCCUCCCUCCCUUUGCAGGAGAGCCGGGAUUAGAAAGUCAAGGCAGGCGAUCGUGGACGGUGCGGCCGCACUCUCUGACUGAGUGGGCCAGUGCUGUCGCGACGUCGGUCGCUCUGUCGUGCCCGUGGGAGUGCUGGCGGCUUGCGGCGAGUAGAUCGGUCACCCACCCGACCCGUCUUGAAACACGGACCAAGGAGUCUAACAUGUACGCGAGUCAAUGGGUCUUGAUCAGGCCCAGAGGCGCAAUGAAAGCAAAGGGCGGCAGAACGCCGUCUGAGUUGGGAUCCUGGGGCUUUCGCGUCCAAGGAGCACCAACGACCCGUCCUGUCCGAUUUAUCUCGGUUGGGCGGAGUAUGAGCGUACACGUUGGGACCCGAAAGAUGGUGAACUAUGCCCGGGCAGGACGAGGCCAGAGGAAACUCUGGUGGAGGUCCGUAGCGGUUCUGACGUGCAAAU
rnacentral:rRNA from 1 species